rnacentral:lncRNA from 1 species
GGGCUAACAACUCGGAACACAUAGUUGCUCUCUGUUUUACAACAGGUUCUGGGAACACAGUUUCCUUGUCUGUGUGGAGUUGGAAAAUUGCACAUGCUCAGGAACUCAAAGAUGUCCCAGAGCCUGGUUCAACAAUGGCCUCAAGCAUCCCUGUGCUUCCUCCCCUCCUCCAGGAGAGCACUUUCUUCGUGGGAGCUGUUAUAUAUCAGCCAUGGUUCAAGCCUCAGGUACCUGAGUAGGGGAGGCAAGAAGGGGACUCUGAGUAGUUGCUGUUUGUGAUAACUUAGCUUCCUCCUAUCUGUUCACUUCCCUUGCUGAUUCCCUUCCCGGGACUGCACCUUCCAUUGGUGAGCUAGUUGGCUUUCUUUGGCUUCUGCCAACAUGG